GAUGAAUCAGUACACCAUUCAUCCGCCCGGGUACUACGAGCAUUAGCUUAAAACCCGAAGGACUUGGCGGUGCUUUAGACCCACCUAGAGGAGCCUGUUCUGGAACCGAUAACCCCCGUUAAACCUCACCCUUUCUUGUUUGAUCCGCCUAUAUACCGCCGUCGUCAGCUUACCCUGUGAAGGAGUAAAAGUGAGCAAAAUUGGUAUAACCCUAAACGUCAGGUCGAGGUGUAGUAUAUGAAAGGGGAAGAAAUGGGCUACAUUCGCCCAUCGGCGAAGACGGAUUACUUGCUGAAAAGUGGGUAUGAAGGAGGAUUUAGCAGUAAGAACAAAUCAGAGUGUUGUUCUGAAACUGGCCCUGAAGCGCG
rnacentral:rRNA from 1 species